rnacentral:rRNA from 1 species
GACGAACGCUGGCGGCGUGCUUAACACAUGCAAGUCGAACGAUGAAGCAAAGAAUUGAAGCUUCGGCAGAAAUUCAUUUCGGAUUAGUGGCAGACGGGUGAGUAACGCGUGAGCAACCUACCUCUUACAAAGGGAUAGCCUCGGGAAACCGGGAUUAAUACCAUACAACAUUGCGACGAAGCAUUUCGAUGCAAUCAAAGCUACGGCGGUAAGAGAUGGGCUCGCGUCCCAUUAACCAGAUGGUGAGGUAACGGCUCACCAUAGUAACGAUGGGUAACCGGCCUGAGAGGGUGAACGGUCACACUGGAACUGAGACACGGUCCAGACUCCUACGGGAGGCAGCAGUGGGGAAUAUUGCACAAUGGAGGGAACUCUGAUGCAGCGACGCCGCGUGAGUGAUGAAGGAAUUCGUUUCGUAAAACUCUGUUCUAUGGGAAGAAAAGGACUGUACCAUAGGAGAAAGCUCCGGCUAAAUACGUG